AUUGGUCAUCAUAGCGGAGAUGCAACACCUGAAUCCAUCUCGAACUCAGACGUGAAAAGCUCCUGCGCCGAGGGUACUUAGCCUUAAGGCUUGGAAGAUUAGGUCAUGACCAAUC
rnacentral:rRNA from 1 species